UACAGAGGGUGCGAGCGUUGUCCGGAAUCACUGGGCGUAAAGGGCGCGUAGGUGGCGGCCCAAGUCCAUGGUGAAAGCUCGCCGCUUAACGGCGAGUCGGCCACGGAUACUGGGUUGCUCGAGCACUGUAGGGGCAGAUGGAAUUCCAGGUGUAGCGGUGAAAUGCGUAGAUAUCUGGAGGAACACCGGUGGCGAAGGCGACAUCUUGGACCGGUAUUGACGCUGAGGCGCGAAAGCUAGGGGAGCAAACGGG
rnacentral:rRNA from 1 species